rnacentral:rRNA from 1 species
CGGCGGAUGGGUGAGUAACACGUGGGUAACCUACCUACAAGCUUGGGAUAACUCGUGGAAACGCGAACUAAUACCAAAUGCGAUCUUUUACCUCCUGGUAAAAGAUUAAAAGACGGUUUCGGCUGUCACUUGUAGACGGGCCCGUGGCGCAUUAGCUAGUUGGUGAGAUAAAAGCUUACCAAGGCAACGAUGCGUAGCCGACCUGAGAGGGUGAUCGGCCACACUGGGACUGAGACACGGCCCAGACUCCUACGGGAGGCAGCAGUAGGGAAUCUUCCGCAAUGGACGAAAGUCUGACGGAGCGACGCCGCGUGAAUGAUGAAGAUCUUCGGAUCGUAAAAUUCUGUUGUUAGGGAUGGACAAGUGUGAGCGUAACUACUCACACCUUGACAGUACUUAACCAGAAAGCCCCGGCUAACUACGUGCCAGCAGCCGCGGUAAUACGUAGGGGGCGAGCGUUGUCCGGAAUUAUUGGGCGUA